rnacentral:rRNA from 1 species
GACGAACGCUGGCGGCGUGCCUAAUACAUGCAAGUCGAACGCUUCUUUUUCCACCGGAGCUUGCUCCACCGGAAAAAGAGGAGUGGCGAACGGGUGAGUAACACGUGGGUAACCUGCCCAUCAGAAGGGGAUAACACUUGGAAACAGGUGCUAAUACCGUAUAACAAUCGAAACCGCAUGGUUUUGAUUUUAAAGGCGCUUUCGGGUGUCGCUGAUGGAUGGACCCGCGGUGCAUUAGCUAGUUGGUGCGGUAACGGCUCACCAAGGCCACGAUGCAUAGCCGACCUGAGAGGGUGAUCGGCCACAUUGGGACUGAGACACGGCCCAAACUCCUACGGGAGGCAGCAGUAGGGAAUCUUCGGCAAUGGACGAAAGUCUGACCGAGCAACGCCGCGUGAGUGAAGAAGGUUUUCGGAUCGUAAAACUCUGUUGUUAGAGAAGAACAAGGAUGAGAGUAACUGUUCAUCCCUUGACGGUAUCUAACCAGAAAGCCACGGCUAACUACGUGCCAGCCGCCGCCGUAA